GCCCACCUCCGAUCCGCGCCUUACUUGGUCCUGCGGCCCGAGCCGGGCUCGCCGCUCGGCCACCGCCCGGCCAGAACGCAAGAGGCGCCGGGGAGAGCGCCGAGCCAGCAGGGACGCGCCAGUCCCGCCGCUGCGGUCGAAAGCGAGAUGAGGGCGCGGGAGACGAGCACCCGGGCGACACCGCCAGCCGCUGGCGGAGGAUCGGCCCGGAUCGGGACUCCGCGAGUCGUGCUUGUGGUUGUUCAAGAGGGAGCCCCGCCCGUGAGCCCACCUCCUAGGACUUUCCGUCUCCGCGCGGGCCGCGGCGCGGUGCGGGGACCCACGAGCACCUCCCCUUCCCCGGGGCCGCUGGAGCGGGCUUCCGGCACCACCCUGGGCCACGAGGGACUUAAUCCCGGAGGGGCAGUGGUCACCUCCCCUCCCCCGCCGCGGCCCGGCUUCCUCCACGCCCCCUCCGGGGACCCGAGCGAUGCCCGCGCACGGGAAAGGAGUGGAAUAGACUGAAGGCAGGAGAAGAGGGCGACACAGGAUGAGAUGGUUGGAUGGCAUCAGCGACUCAAUGGACAUGAGUUUGAGCAAACUCCAGGAGACAGUGAAGGACAGGGAAGCCUGGCGUGCUACAGUCCAUGGGAUCACAAAGAGUCAAACAAUACUUGGCCAGUGAACAACAACAACCAAAAACCAGGGAUAUCUGGCCUGGAAAAUGUUCCACCUGGAAAAUCAACCCCCAAAUAAUUGAGGUGUUUCCUUGUCAUUUUGUGUCAUUUAUGCCUCAUUUUCAGAUUUUUAAUUAUAAAAUUAUAUAAUUACCUAGUCUCAUUUAUAAUUCAUGCCAUUGGGUUAUUUAGAAAUCUCUCUGAAUUAAGUAGUGUUCCUGUUCUCAAUUUUUACUUUUAUUAAUUUUAGCUAUUUUUUAUUACAAUAAAUGUGUGUAUGUGGCAAGUUAAAUAAUUAAACAGUACAAAAGGGUAUUAAGUAAAACAUAAAGCAUAUAAGACACCCUUGCCCGCAUUCCCAGUCUCACUUCUCGCA
ensembl:lncRNA